GUCACUUCUCGGUCUUUUUGUCUAAGAUGAAGCAUAGUAUCUGUUCUUAUCAGUUUGAUAUCUGAUUACAUCUUGCAGUGCUUUCCCUCCCAAGGCUCCUGGGUGACUUUUCUGUUGCACACGAAAACACUGUGAAAAUGCAGCACAAGUCCG
rnacentral:snRNA from 1 species